rnacentral:rRNA from 1 species
CCUAAGGAGAAAAUCUUUAUUACUUAAUUAUUAUUUGUUAUUAGCUUGAAAUUUAAAGAAUUUGGCGGUAUCUAAGUCUAGUCAGAGGAACCUGCUUCUUAAAACGAUAAUCCACGAAAUAUCUUAUUUCUUUUUGUUUUCAGCUUGUAUACCUCCAUUAUUAGAUAUAGUUCAGAGGCUUUUAUUUUAAUAUAGAUAUGAGUUGUAGUAGUAUAGUAUAUUAGGUCAAGGUGCAGCUAAUAAAGAAAUUGAUUGUGGGUUACAUUUUUAUUUUAAAUUCAGAAAGGAACUUGAACAUGUUUUUUGAAGGUGGAUUUGAUUGUAAAUUAUUAUUUAAUAUGUAAAAUUGAUAUUAGCUCUUANAUAUGU